GAUGAACGCUGGCGGCGUGCCUAACACAUGCAAGUCGAGCGAACGGACGAGAAGCUUGUUUCUCUGAUGUUAGCGGCGGACGGGUGAGUAACACGUGGAUAACCUACCUAUAAGACUGGGAUAACUUCGGGAAACCGGAGCUAACACCGGAUGAUAUCUUGAACCGUAUGGUUCAAAAGUGAAAGACGGUCUUGCUGUCUCUUAUAGAUGGAUCCGGGCUGCUUUAGCUAGUUGGUAAGGAAACGGCUUACCAAGGCAACGAUGCAUAGCCGAUCGGAGAGGGGGGGCGGCCGCACGAGAAGGGGACCGGGGUCCAGACUCCUACGGGAGGCAGCAGAAGGGAAUGGGCCGCAGUGGGCGGGAGCCUGGCGGAACAACGCCAAGUGGGUGGUAGAAGUCUUCGGUUCGGGAUGCUCUGUUUUUAGGGAAGAACAUAUGUGUAAGUAACUGUGGACUUCUUGACGGUACCGAAUAAAAAAGCAACGGCUAACUACGUG
rnacentral:rRNA from 1 species